rnacentral:lncRNA from 1 species
GUUUUUUUGCUUAAUGGCAACAUUUCAAUUUCAGCACUUUUAGAUCAAUGCCAAUAAUGCUUUUCUCCGGUUAACAAAGAACUCCAAUUUUAUUUCUACUUCCUUAGCCCAACUCUGCGUUUUGUUUUGUGUUGGGUUGCAUAUUCUCAUGUGAGCAUGAAACUUUGUAGGAGAAAAUCGAAGUCAUUUUAUAAGACAGUUCUUAACAUACCAGGGCCAAUUGGGACUGUAGUUCAAUCUCCAGACCUUGAACAGUGCGUCUCAAUUCAGUAAUCUCAGAUUUAUGGCUGGACAUUUGUUCGAUGUUACUGUUGAUUUCUGUAGUCAGUUCCUGGCUCUAGAGUAUUAAAAACAGGGGAAAGAUGAAGAAAAUCGGACAUGAUAACCAAACCGAACCUCCAUUGGCUUCAGUAGGAAGGAAGAUGCAUGACCUUUUCAUUGAACCAGGCCUCAGCGUCUUUGCGGUUCUGUUCAGCAAGUUGUUCAUACUGAUUUCUCAUGUUAUUCAGAAGUUCGGUCAGAUCAACACCUGGGGCAGCAUUCAUUUCCACAUUCACGUCACCAGUGGACACGUUUUGGAGGUCUCUCAUUUCCUGUUUGAGGAUCAGAAAGAUUUAAUAACUGCACUGUGAUUACAAUGAGCCCUUUUUGUUUUGGCUAGGGAAAGUAUAACUUUCUGUGUCACCUCCUCAUGGUUCUUCUUCAGGUAGGCGAGCUCUUCAGUCAGGCUCUCAAUCUGCAUCUCUAGGUCAGCCUUGGUCAAGGUCAGCUCGUCCAGCACCCUGCGCAGGCCAUUGAUGUCGGCCUCCACGCUCUGGCGCAGGGCCAGCUCAUUCUCAUACCUGAAACAAGCAUGAUCCAAAUACUGGCUAUAACUUAUACUGGAGGCGUACCCAGGUAGAGACUGUUUAAAAAAAAGAAGGCCGCCAUCUCCUCCAAAUCCACCACCGAAGCCUCCUCCAAAGCUGCCCCAACGAAGCUGCCUCCUCCGAAGCUGCCUCCUCCGAAGCUGCCUCCUCCAAAGCUGCCUCCUCCGAAGCCCCCACCUAAGCUGCUGCUUCCAUAGCCUCCACCAAAGCUGCCUCCACCAAAAACCUCCUCCUGAUCCUCCUCCAUAGCCUCCCGAUGAGCCACCAAAGCAGCCUCCACCAGAGCUGCCACGGCUAAAAGAGCCACCACUGAACCCCCCUGAGCUAAAUCCUCCACCAAAGGAGCCUCUGCUGCUUGAAAUUCUGAGAGAUGAUCCCCCUCCUCCUCCGCCUCCACUGCGGGAGGAAGAGUAUUGCUUGCGUGAGCUGUAUCGAACAGACAUGGUGAUGCUGUUUAGCCCAGAGAGUGCCUGCUACCAAGGACAGUGACAAGCCUUUAUAUACUGACAGGGUGUGUCCCGUGUGUGUUGGAGUUUGCUUGCUUGCAUGAUUUUCUUUUUGCCAGUUUAGCAUCUUUGGCUUAUGAUUGCAUAAGUUUUCUUCAGUAAUCACCAAUUCCAAUAGGUAUGGUUUUGAAUUUGCCCUAGGAACAAACAGGAGGUUUGCUAUGUUGAAAUUGAAAAUGGGUGUAGUUCAGGUGAGUGUAUGUUUCAUUAUGUUUUUUCGUCUUUUGAAGACCAUUGGGCAACUCUUAAAAUCCUGUCUUUUCUCAGCACUAUGUAGGUAGCACAGAACGUUCUCAAAAUUUGGAAAAAGAAUUUUAGCUACAAAAUUAUAGUUAAAAUAAGAUUUUUGUUUUAAAUCCUUCCAGAAUCAUGCUAUAAUAAGGAUCUUGUACAAAACUGUAAGCUGCCAAAAUGAAAAUACAAAACAUAUGCUAAACAAUUUAAUUAGUGUUUAAAAGUUGCCACACAUAAAAAUUUAAAGCCAUAAGGGCACAAUUUAGGAAGUAUAUGUGUGUAUGUUUAUAGGGAAUCUUUUAAUUUAUUUGGAGAAUGAAAGUAUAUUGAUAUUUUGCCUGGGAAAUUGGAAGUGAGUAAUUAUUUAGGAACCUUUAAUUUAAUGGUGCUAU